UCCUCCCUCCCUUCCCCCUUUUCAAUCACACAAAUAAACACAUUUCAAAAAUUGAAUUGAAAUUAGGGUUUCAAAUAAUAAAUAUUCACUCUGGCAUCACCAUGGCCUCGUCUUCUACCAUCCAAAUCAUCGACGAUGACGACGAUGAUUUUGACUGGGAAGCAGCUGUUGAAGCAAUUGAUACGGCUUGUCACACCACUGUUAAUCCUGUUUCUAACAGCAAUCCUAUUCAUAAACCACCCCCUGUUAACACUAAACAGUCCACUCUUGAUAAGUUUAUCGGGAAUCGAAACCCCAAACCCUUGCCUAAUUCAGCCUUUGUCCAACAAAGGGAUGAUAAUUCUGGCAUUAAGAUCGAUCCCGAAGCUGCUCAAACAUGGAUUUACCCAGUGAAUAUUCCACUUCGCGAUUAUCAGUUUGCUAUAACCAAGACGGCUUUAUUCUCGAAUACUUUGGUCACAUUGCCAACAGGACUUGGAAAAACUCUUAUUGCUGCUGUGGUUAUGUACAAUUACUUCCGUUGGUUUCCAGAAGGUAAGAUCGUGUUUACGGCUCCUUCUAAGCCACUUGUUACACAGCAAAUAGAAGCUUGUCACAAUAUUGUGGGAAUACCACAAGAAUGGACGAUUGAUUUGACUGGUGAGAUAAGUCCCAUUAAACGAGUCUCCUUCUGGGAAACUAAAAGAGUUUUCUUUGUCACCCCCCAAGUGCUGGAGAGAGACAUUGAAUCUGGUACAUGUUUGGUGGAACGCAUAGUUUGCUUGGUGAUUGAUGAGGCUCACCGCGCCACCGGGAACUAUUCAUAUUGUGUAGUAGUUCGCAAGUUGCUAGCUGAUAAUGUGCAGCUCCGAAUAUUAGCUCUGUCUGCUACACCAGGAGCUAAACAGCCGGCAGUCCAGAAAGUUAUUGACAAUUUACAAAUAUCUACGCUAGAGUACCGAGAUGAAAGUGACCAUGAUGUGCUCCCAUAUGUGCAUGAGAAAAAGAUAGAAUUGAUAAAGGUUGCUAUGGGUCAAGAUGUUGUUGAUGUUGACAGUCUUCUCUCAGAAGUAAUUCGUCGUAUUUGCAAGAAGCUUUGUUCGUUGAAAGUGCUUCCCUAUAGAGACUUCCAGACAUUGAGCCCGUGCGAUUUGUUAGCUUCAAUGGCUAGAUUGCAUGAAGCCCCGCCUGGAAAUGUGCCUCAGACAAGACAUGGAGAGAUAUUUGGAGAACUUGGCCUUCUCCUCAAACUCAUCUAUAUUCGGAAGUUACUUACAAACUAUGGAGUUGGGCCAGCAUUGGAGAUGGUUGAGGAUAAUUUGAAAGAAAAAAAGAACUCUCUUAAUCGUUUAAAUAAAAAUGAAGAUUUUCAAAAAUUUAAAAUUUUGAUGCAGCAGAGCGUGUGUAGCGGUGCAACUAGUCCUAAACUGUCAAAAAUGUUGGACAUACUGAUGGAUCAUUUCAAAACAAGUGAUCCACUAAACUCAAGAGUUAUUAUUUUCUCAAAUUUCAGGGGAGGUGUCAGGACCAUAAUGGAUGCACUGGCUAAUAUUGGGCAUAUAGUUAAGGCUACCCAAUUUAUUGGGCAGAGCUCAGGAAAAUCAUCGAAGGGCCAGUCCCAAAAAAUUCAACAGGAGGUUUUGCAGAAAUUUCGUGCUGGUGGGUACAAUGUAAUCGUCGCAACAUCAAUUGGGGAAGAAGGCCUUGAUAUUAUGGAAGUUGAUCUGGUCCUAUGUUUUGAUGCUAAUGUCUCGCCUUUGAGAAUGGUCCAGCGCAUGGGGAGGACAGGAAGAAAUCAUGCAGGUCGAGUUGUAGUUUUGGCUUGUGAAGGGCCAGAAUAUAAUGGCUACUUACGAAAGCGACAAGGUUGCAAGAACAUGAACAAGCACCUGCGAAAUGGCGGAAGAACAAGUUUUAAUUUUUAUACUAGUCCAAGAAUGAUACCACAUAUUUAUAAACCGGAAGUUCAGUAUGUUGAGAUGUCAAUUAAACAAUUCAUCCCUCGUGGUAAAAAGGUGCUAGAUGACCACAAUGUCCAAUUGCCGAUAUCUGAAUCUAAAUUGAACGACAAUGAGAUGGAACUGCUCAAAAAGUUUUUUCAGCCUAAAGAUAACUUAUGGAGACCUUCCCUUAUUGCAUUUCCCCACUUCCAGGCAUUUCCCUCCAGAGUGCACAAUGUCAUGCAUUCAUUCCGAUCAGAAAUGUUGAUUGAUACAAUGCAACGUUUACAAGGAUUAUCAUAUUCAAGGGACAGCAGAGCCUGCUUGGAUCAGGUUGAAGCCAAUUCAGAUCUGAGCGUCAGUAUUGAAACUGCUGUAGGGUAUGAUAGCAUUAUAAAUGAAGUGCAUACUUACUACGAUCGAAGGAAAGAAAGCUCACAAGGAGAACUACCAGAAUCACAUGUAUCAACUUUGAACCCUUCCAAAACAGAGGAGAAACUAUGUUCUGCUUGUUCUCAAGGGGCAAAAACUUCUGUCCACUCCUACUUGUAUGGGUCAGAUUUUGUUUCCGUUGAUGUUCUCGGCAAGGUCCUUGUUCUUUCUGUUCCACUACAUCCUUUGAAAGAUGUUCAUUCUAAAUGUACAAGUGCAAGCAAUGCUGGCUUACAAAACUGUUACAAGGAAGAUGCAGCUCAGGCCGGGGAUUCACUUGCAGAGUGCGGAAGAGAGGCUAGGCGAGAAAAUUACUUCAAUGCUACACCAACAGUACGGGAGGGUAUUAAUAGUGUCGAUGUGGAGUUUUUCCACUCUGAUACCCAACAAGGAAGGUCGGUAGAUGCGGAUUGUAAAACUUCCAAGACCUUGAUUUGCAGCAGAAAUUUUGUCAUAAAAGAAAUCAGUAAGGCGCUACCCGUUGGGGAAAAUAAAACAGCAUUGAUAUUAAGUGAUGACUCAGCCAAUGAAGACGAAGAUGCUGAGCUUAGUCCUCGGCUAACAAGCCUUCUUAAAAGUGGUGUUGUUCCAGAGUCUCCUACAAAUGAUACUGGAACUUCAGGAGGUAAAUUAGAAGAAGAGAUGUUAAGUCAAGAUUGUGAUCCAACUUCUGAACUGCACACUGAAUCGAUAUUACAACAUUCUGUUAUUGUAAGGAAUAAUAUUGUUAUCGAGGAAAAUAACACCGGUGAAGUACUCCCUUCAUUUGCUAAGGAUGAGUUUCAUUCAUCUGCAAUUAACAGGAACAAUGUAUCUGCUGUUGAUUGUUCUGUAAUUCCAGUUAUGGAAGAAAUUGAAUCUCCAGCGGAAAAUCCAUUACACAAUAGUUGUAGUGAAGAGUGGCAGUCUUCUUUUGGAGCAAAUAUAGAAAAUGUUAAUCAUAAACAGAAGUUCAAAAGAUUGCGCAAGUACGGAGAUCUUCCAAAAAGGCGUCCAAGGGAAACUAAUGAGUAUGAAUGUAUAACUGAUGCAGCUGAAUUAGCUGAAGUGGGAACAUCUGCCUGGAGCAACGUGCAUAAGCAUAGUAGAGGUAAGAAGAAGAUGACAGAAGAUGUUAGAGUCUUCAUUGAAGAUCAGGCAGAGGUAUCUGGAGAAAUUCCAGUGUCGGAAGAUGAAGAUGAUCAGGAAAAUGGUUCAUAUAACAAUAGUUUCAUUGAUGAUAGGAGUAACCCAACACCAGGAUGUACUUCAGCUGAAGAUAGUGGAAGAGAUAUGAUGGCUAUUUACAGGCGUUCUUUACUGAGUCAAUCACCAAUGGGGAGGCCACCAAUUAGUUUCAUGGACUGGAGUCCAGAUUCUCUAGUUAAUAGGACCCAAAUAAAUUAUAGUGGCAGGUCAGAAGGGACAGAUCAGUCUCUCCAAAUACCCCAGGCUUGUUCAUAUCUUGAAUCUACUGGUCGGAAUCCAGCAUCCUCCCGGUUGAAAUGUGAAAAGAAUGCAGAGUCCAUGUCUAACAAAAGUCGUGAUACCCAAAAGGAAGUCGAGAGCAUUGCAGGAAGUCGAAAAAGGAAGUUGAGUCCUUGCCAAGUUGGUCCUCUCCCUGUGCAAAAUCUUGAUGGUAAAUUUUUGCUUCAGUCUGAAGCCCAAGCCAAAGACCGGUCUCAUUGGAUGAACAAAGAUAGUCCAGUAACAAUUGAAUUUGAUGAUGAUGAUCAGUUCUAUGAUGGUAUUGAUCUAGAUGCACUGGAGGAACAAGCUACUAAAUACCUUAGAAGCAAAUCCAACCUGUCAAUGCAGAAUCAAAUGAAGAAUCUUGAUCCCAAUAAUCAUGCUGAUUUGCGAGAAGAACCUUCAUUUGAUCUACCUUCAUUUGAUCUUGGAAUCUGAGGACAUGUAGUGUGGCCAUAGGAAAUAUCAUCAAUAAAUGCCUUGUUUCUUUCUACAGUAUCGGUUGAAAUUUGGGUUUCGUAUGUAUGGCUUUUGUGAUGUUAUAGUAAAUUAUUCAUAGAAAGCGUGGCAAAGGGUCUGUUAGUAUAGGCAUCAAUGUAUCAUUUUUGGCAUGAGACUGCUUCUACUGUAAUGUAAUUAUUGUAUCGACAGUGGAAUGAUUGUGCUUAAAAAUUGCAAACUGUAAGGAGUAGGAUUUUGUUACCGGUUAAACAUGUUUGUUGACUGUAGACUUCUUUUUCACCAAUCUAGCCUUGUAAGAUAGAGAUUUGACCAGUAACAACCGAGAAACAUUAGGCCCCUGCAAAAACAUUAGCUACUGGGACUUUAUAUCCUUUUUCUUUUCA